GCCCGGGUGGCGGAAUUGGCAGACGCGAUGGACUCAAAAUCCAUUGACCCUUGGGUCGUGAGAGUUCGAAUCUCUCUCCGGGCA
rnacentral:tRNA from 1 species